CAGCCUUGGUGCUGUGGACACUCCCUGGGGCCCAGCGAAGGGGAGAGUUUGCUCCCAAAGGCACACCAAUGACCAACAUUUGCCCCCCGGAGGAAAGAACUGGAACCAGGGUCAAGGCCAACCUGUCAGAGGUGCUUGUGUCCAGUGUCCUGGGGGUCAACGUGACCAGCGCUGAAGUCUAUGGGGCCUUCACCUGCUCCAUCCAGAACAUCAGCUUCUCCUUCACUCUUCAGAGAGCUGGCCCUACAAGCCACGUGGCUGCGGUGCUGGCCUCCCUCCUGGUCCUGCUGGCCCUGCUGCUGGCCGCCCUGCUCUAUGUCAAGUGCCGUCUCAACGUGCUGCUCUGGUACCAGGACGCGUAUGGGGAGGUGGAGAUGAACGACGGGAAGCUCUACGACGCCUACGUCUCCUACAGCGACUGCCCCGAGGACCGCAAGUUCGUGAACUUCAUCCUAAAGCCGCAGCUGGAGCGGCGUCGGGGCUACAAGCUCUUCCUGGACGACCGCGACCUCCUGCCGCGCGCUGAGCCCUCCGCCGACCUCUUGGUGAACCUGAGCCGCUGCCGACGCCUCAUCGUGGUGCUUUCGGACGCCUUCCUGAGCCGGGCCUGGUGCAGCCACAGCUUCCGGUGGGUCCCGCGCGAGGUUGGGUGGGCCCCAGCUUAGCACCCACCCCCCUGACGGUCCCGCCCCGCAGGGAGGGCCUGUGCCGGCUGCUGGAGCUCACCCGCAGACCCAUCUUCAUCACCUUCGAGAGCCAGAGGCGCGACCCCGCGCACCCGGCGCUCCGCCUGCUGCGCCAGCACCGCCACCUG
rnacentral:sRNA from 1 species